rnacentral:rRNA from 1 species
CCCUUAGAUGUUCUGGGCUGCACGCGCGCUACACUGAAGCGUUCAACGAGUAUUCACCUUGCCCGGGAGGGUUGGGUAAUCUUUUGAAAACGCUUCGUGAUGGGGAUAGAUUAUUGCAAUUAUUAAUCUUCAACGAGGAAUUCCUAGUAAGCGCGAGUCAUCAGCUCGUGCUGAUUACGUCCCUGCCCUUUGUACACACCGCCCGUCGCUCCUACCGAUUGAACGGUUUAGUGAGGGCAUCGGACUGGUCUCGGCCCGCCCUUCACCGGUGCGGCGCCGCCGGCCGGGAAGACGCUCGAACUUGAUCGUUUAGAGGAAGUAAAAGUCGUAACA